CUCCUGGCCUGAUUUGUUCAAAUAUUGAGUGGAGAUUCCUUCAUCUCAUGGAAAGGGGCUCUAGCUUCUGAUCUAUACUGGUCAUUUGAUCAGUUCUGGCCAGUGAGAUACAAGACGAAGUCUGAUGGGGCUCCUGGGAAAGAUUUUCAUCCCUGCAGGCUUGGAAAAGCUAGAUGUGUACUCUCCCAGUCACCCUUGCAGACAGGAGUUGACUGUGUGAUCCAGUCCUGGCCAAUGAGAAAUAAACUGAAGGUCCAAUGCCUCACUCCUGAUGGGUCCCAUCAUGUACCCAAGUGGGAAGUCCUCCUGGUUCACUUUGACUAGAAUACACUUCUGUCUCUUGCCAGCAUGGAGGAGGGAUGGUGUUUUGGGCUGAAUUGUAUCUCCACAAAUUCCAAUGAUGAAGUUCCUAAACCCCUAGUACCUCAGAAUAUGUAUUUGGAGUAUUUGUAUUUGGA